rnacentral:rRNA from 1 species
UACAGAGGGUGCGAGCGUUACUCGGAAUUACUGGGCGUAAAGCGUGCGUAGACGGUUAUUUAAGUCGGAUGUGAAAGCCCCGGGCUCAACCUGGGAAUUGCAUUCGAGACUGAAUAGCUAGGGUGCGGUAGAGGGAAGCGGAAUUUCCGGUGUAGCGGUGAAAUGCGUAGAUAUCGGAAGGAACAUCAGUGGCGAAAGCGACUUCCUGGACCAAUACUGACGCUCAUGUGCGAAAGCGUGGGGAGCAAACAGG